rnacentral:rRNA from 1 species
CAGUCGCCACGGUAAUACGUAGGUGGCAAGCGUUGUCCGGAAUUAUUGGGCGUAAAGCGCGCGCAGGUGGUUUAAUAAGUCUGAUGUGAAAGCCCACGGCUCAACCGUGGAGGGUCAUUGGAAACUGUUAAACUUGAGUGCAGGAGAGAAAAGUGGAAUUCCUAGUGUAGCGGUGAAAUGCGUAGAGAUUAGGAGGAACACCAGUGGCGAAGGCGGCUUUUUGGCCUGUAACUGACACUGAGGCGCGAAAGCGUGGGGAGCAAACAGGAUUAGAUACCCCUGUAGUCCCUGUCUCUUAUAC